ACGCACGCUGGCGGCGUGCUUCACCCCUGCAAGUCGCACGGAAAGGCCCUGCUUUUGUGGGGUGCUCGAGUGGCGAACGGGUGAGUAACACGUGAGUAACCUGCCCUUGACUUUGGGAUAACUUCAGGAAACUGGGGCUAAUACCGGAUAGGAGCUCCUGCUGCAUGGUGGGGGUUGGAAAGUUUCGGCGGUUGGGGAUGGACUCGCGGCUUAUCAGCUUGUUGGUGGGGUAGUGGCUUACCAAGGCUUUGACGGGUAGCCGGCCUGAGAGGGUGACCGGGCACAUUGGGACUGAGAUACGGCCCAGACUCCUACGGGAGGCAGCAGUGGGGAAUAUUGCACAAUGGGCGGAAGCCUGAUGCAGCAACGCCGCGUGCGGGAUGACGGCCUUCGGGUUGUAAACCGCUUUCGCCUGUGACGAAGCGUGAGUGACGGUAAUGGGUAAAGAAGCACCGGCUAACUACGUG
rnacentral:rRNA from 1 species